GCAAUGGAGAAUCUGUUGAUGAGCGAAGAGUGGUUAGCUUCGUUAUCGUGGGUUGUGGAAUUGAAUGAAGUGAAUUUGCGAAGACGCAACAGGCAAAUUGUGCGCAGGUGGUGGAUGCGACCAAUUUUUUCCGGCGGCAAGAAGAUGGCAACCGCUUGCUGGAUAAUAUUGUCGCAGAACAAGCCAACGAAACCGUCGUUAACUUUCUUCGAAUGAAGAAGGAAGAUUUUGAUGUUUUGCUGCAAGCUAUAAGGCCGGCAAUAAGUCGCAUGAACACCAAUAUGCGCGACUCCAUCACAACCCAAGAAAGGUUGCUAAUUACGUUGCGGUAUUUAGCAACUGGAGAAACCUUCAGUAGUUUGCAAUAUUUGUUUCGAGUGUCUCGUUCCUCCAUAAGCAACAUAGUAAAGGAGACGUGUGUCUGCCUUACAAAAACUCUACGAUCAUAUGUGAAGCCAAAAAUAAUGAAAUCGAACUAUCGUGCUGCUUGAGGGCUGCUUAAGGAAAAAAAGUACCAGCGCCGAACUUUGAAGCUAGUUAAAAAGAGCGUGGAACUUGAUGGAACUAUGAAGCUUUUCUACCUUCACUUGGAACUCGAUGGAACUAUGAGGCUUAUUAACAAACGACGAAUAGUCUUCACCCGAACUAUGCGGCUUUUUAAGAAGCAUACGGUACUUCAUGGAACUUUAUGCCCAUUUAAGAGUGAAAGAUGACCCUUCAAGUUGUUUGUUUACAGGAUUAUGUCAAUAGAACAUUGCUAUCUGCCAUUAAGCGUCAUUAGAAGAAAAAAUCAUUGUGUGGAAAGAUGUAUUCCAAGCGUGUGAAAAAAUCGGGAAACUUGUAGAGAAGGCGUGCUAAAAUUAUGCGUGAGUUGUUUGAGAACGGAGACGACUGCGAAAUAAUCGAUAAUACAGAAUCAACAAACUUUGAUCAUGCGGUUGAACAAAUAUCCGACAGUUCCAGUUCAGAAGAUGAUGAGUGUGGGAUCCUGAGUAUGAAUGUAGUGGUGUGAGUGCGGAACGGCAAUGGAUGAGAGGCCGCCAGUCUUAGUUGAAUGCUGAAUAAAGGAGGCUGUGUUGCGUGAACUGGUAAA